UGUCCAGUAGCACCUUAGAGACCAACUAAGUUUGUUCUUGGUAUAAACUUUCAUGUGCAUGCACACUUCUGUUUCAGUGUAUCUGAAGAAGUGUGCAUGCACACGAAAGCUUAUACCAAGAACAAAUUUAGUUGGUCUCUAAGGUGCUACUGGACA